AGUGAACGCUGGCGGUAGGCCUAACACAUGCAAGUCGAACGGCAGCACAGUAAGAGCUUGCUCUUACGGGUGGCGCGUGGCGGACGGGUGAGGAAUACAUCGGAAUCUACUUUUUCGUGGGGGAUAACGUAGGGAAACUUACGCUAAUACCGCAUACGACCUACGGGUGAAAGCAGGGGAUCUUCGGACCUUGCGCGAUUGAAUGAGCCGAGGUCGGAUUAGCUAGUUGGCGGGGUAAAGGCCCACCAAGGCGACGAUCCGUAGCUGGUCUGAGAGGAUGAUCAGCCACACUGGAACUGAGACACGGUCCAGACUCCUACGGGAGGCAGCAGUGGGGAAUAUUGGACGAUGGGCGCAAGCCUGAUCCAGCCAUACCGCGGGGGUGAAGAAGGCCUUCGGGUUGUAAAGCCCUUUUGUUGGGAAAGAAAAGCAGCAGGUUAAUACCCCGCUGUUCUGACGGUACCCAAAGAAUAAGCACCGGCUAACUUCGUG
rnacentral:rRNA from 1 species